rnacentral:miRNA from 1 species
UUUCCAUAUUCUAUUCAUUAAAAGUCAGUUACUGCUGGGUGUGGUAGUGCACGCCUGUAAUCACAGCACUUGGGAGGCUGAGGCAGGAGGAU